rnacentral:rRNA from 1 species
CCUACGGGAGGCAGCAGUGGGGAAUAUUGGACAAUGGGCGCAAGCCUGAUCCAGCAAUGCCGCGUGAGUGAUGAAGGCCUUAGGGUCGUAAAGCUCUUUUACCAGGGAUGAUAAUGACAGUACCUGGAGAAUAAGCUCCGGCUAACUCCGUGCCAGCAGCCGCGGUAAUACGGAGGGAGCUAGCGUUGUUCGGAAUUACUGGGCGUAAAGCGUACGUAGGCGGUUAUUCAAGUCAGAGGUGAAAGCCCGGGGCUCAACCCCGGAACGGCCUUUGAAACUAGGUAGCUAGAAUCUUGGAGAGGUCAGUGGAAUUCCGAGUGUAGAGGUGAAAUUCGUAGAUAUUCGGAAGAACACCAGUGGCGAAGGCGACUGACUGGACAACGUAUUGACGCUGAGGUACGAAAGCGUGGGGAGCAAACAGGAUUAGAUAACCCUGGUAGUCCACGCCGUAAACGAUGAUAACUAGCUNUUCGGGCACUUGGUGCUUGAGUGGCGCAGCUAACGCAUAAGUUAUCCGCCUGGGGAGUACGGUCGCAAGAUUAAAACUUAAAAGAAUUGACGGCUGNGACGNGCGAGACGACGACGAGGAGAG